rnacentral:lncRNA from 1 species
UAACCGUGAGAAUGAGUUUGUUCUCUACAUACUACAUAGAAGGGUAUAUGAAAUGCUAGUAGUGAAACAAAUCAAGAUGAAGAAUAAAGUGACCCAAGUAUAAGGACAUAUUAUACAUACGUGUUAUAAAAGUAUUGCCCCAAAAAGGGUGGGGGGAGUUGAUCAUCCCCAGGAAGGGUAGUUUGAGGCAACAGGACAAACUCCCUCACUGUGGCUAAACCCAUACGUCUGGCCUGUGUGCAAGCCAGCCAGUUUCAGGACCUGAGAGAUCAGGACACACACAGGCCAGGAAGCCCUAUAAGCCCCCAACACCAUCUCAGGCUCAGAUGGGUUUAAGUAUUCUUCUAUCAUCCUCUGCCUCUGAGGGCUUCGAGGCCACAAUCAGACGGGCAAGGCUUAGCCACUGCCAAGCAGGGACCCACUCUGCCUGCACCCAAACUCUGAAGACCCAAGAGGACAUUGUGAGGCCUGGACCCUCAGAGGUCACUGAGGCCCGGGAGACCCGCCUCCCUCUGGUGUAGGAGGUGGGCUGUGGCAAAGCUGCUGGAGAAGUGGGCGGGACCUGUAAAUUACAAGACCCCAGGGCCGCUCCAGACAAUUUUCAGGACUCCGCGAGAUGUGGACAGAAGACCAGACGCCCUGGGAACUCACUGUCUUCACUCUUCGUGGUAGCCCUCCCAGACCCAGGCCAUACUUUUCUCUUUGCUCUUUUUCACUUAACCCCACCUUGUUUGGCCCAAGUUCACUCUGCAGAACCAAUUCUUCCCUUACCCUUUCACCCCUCAUUUUAGAAUAAACAUUUGGC